rnacentral:rRNA from 1 species
GNUGGCGGCUGCUAUACUGCAGUCGAGCGGACUUGCUGGAGCUUGCUCCAGCAGGUUAGCGGCGGACGGGUGAGUAACACGUGGGCAACCUGCCUGUAAGACUGGGAUAACUCCGGGAAACCGGAGCUAAUACCGGAUAGUAUCUUGAACCGCAUGGUUCAAGUUGGAAAGACGGUUUCGGCUGUCACUUACAGAUGGGCCCGCGGCGCAUUAGCUAGUUGGUGAGGUAAUGGCUCACCAAGGCAACGAUGCGUAGCCGACCUGAGAGGGUGAUCGGCCACACUGGGACUGAGACACGGCCCAGACUCCUACGGGAGGCAGCAGUAGGGAAUCUUCCGCAAUGGACGAAAGUCUGACGGAGCAACGCCGCGUGAGUGAUGAAGGUUUUCGGAUCGUAAAACUCUGUUGUUAGGGAAGAACAAGUGCGAGAGUAACUGCUCGCACCUUGACGGUACCUAACCAGAAAGCCACGGCUAACUACGUGCCAGCAGCCGCGGUAAUACGUAGGUGGCAAGCGUUGUCCGGAAUUAUUGGGCGUAAAGCGCGCGCAGGCGGUUUCUUAAGUCUGAUGUGAAAGCCCCCGGCUCAACCGGGGAGGGUCAUUGGAAACUGGGAAACUUGAGUGCAGAAGAGGAGAGUGGAAUUCCACGUGUAGCGGUGAAAUGCGUAGAGAUGUGGAGGAACACCAGUGGCGAAGGCGACUCUCUGGUCUGUAACUGACGCUGAGGCGCGAAAGCGUGGGGAGCGAACAGGAUUAGAUACCCUGGUAGUCCACGCCGUAAACGAUGAGUGCUAAGUGUUAGAGGGUUUCCGCCCUUUAGUGCUGCAGCUAACGCAUUAAGCACUCCGCCUGGGGAGUACGGUCGCAAGACUGAAACUCAAAGGAAUUGACGGGGGCCCGCACAAGCGGUGGAGCAUGUGGUUUAAUUCGAAGCACGCGAAGACCUUACCAGGUCUUGACAUCCUUUGCCACUUCUAGAGAUAGAGGUUCCCCUUCGGGGACAAAGUGACAGGUUGGUGCAUGGUUGUCGUCAGCUCGUGUCGUGAGAUGUUGGGUUAGUCCCGCAACGAGCGCAACCCUUGGAUCUUAGUUGCCAGCAUUCAGUGGGCACUCU